rnacentral:rRNA from 1 species
UACGGAGGGGACUAGCGUUGUUCGGAAUUACUGGGCGUAAAGCGCACGUAGGCGGCUUUGUAAGUUAGAGGUGAAAGCCUGGAGCUCAACUCCAGAAUUGCCUUUAAGACUGCAUCGCUUGAAUCCAGGAGAGGUGAGUGGAAUUCCGAGUGUAGAGGUGAAAUUCGUAGAUAUUCGGAAGAACACCAGUGGCGAAGGCGGCUCACUGGACUGGUAUUGACGCUGAGGUGCGAAAGCGUGGGGAGCAAACAGG